UCGAGCCGUGCAUAGUCGGCACGGCUCGGACUGACACAAAGCUGACAUAAUUGUAGAAUAUUGCCUUUUUGCAGACUUUAUUUCUAUGCCUAGUCAUUGCUGAAAUUGUCUAUCAAGAACCAAACUUUGAAGGCAUCUUUUGCUUGAUUGCAGCUGUGCAAAACCCAAGAUUCUUCCUUUGUUCGUUGCUUCUAAGGAUUUAGCUGUGAGCCCAUAAUUUUUUUUCCUCGGUUAAAGCAGGAGGAAGAGGCCUAAUGGAGACAGAAAAUGGAGAUGGCGAAUCCCGGUUGGAAGAAUAUGAAGUAAUGGAGCAGAUUGGCAGAGGAGCUUUUGGAGCAGCAUUUCUUGUUUUGCAUAAAAUUGAGAAAAAAAAGUAAGAAUCUCUUAAACCCCAGUUUUCCCAUGUGGGUUGUGCCUAAGUGUGCGUGUUCUUGUGAAUUUGUGUGUCUAUAUAUUCUUUUUAAUUUAUGGGCUCUGUUUACUGGGUUAUUCUGCACAUAUUGGUGUAUUUAAUGAAAAGCGGAUAAAUAUUCAUAAUUCUU